GUGCCAGCAGCCGCGGUAAUACGGAGGAUGCGAGCGUUAUCCGGAUUUAUUGGGUUUAAAGGGUGCGUAGGCGGUCGGGUAAGCGUAGGGUGAAAGUCCUCUGCUCAACAGGGGAAGUGCCUUCCGAACUGUCCGACUUGAAUUCUCCUGCCGUGGGAGGAAUGUGUGGUGUAGCGGUGAAAUGCAUAGAGAUCACACAGAACACCGAUUGCGAAGGCAUCUCACGAAGGGGCGAUUGACGCUGAGGCACGAAAGCGUGGGGAUCAAACAGGAUUAGAUACCCUGGUAGUCC
rnacentral:rRNA from 1 species